UGGGGAAUAUUGGACAAUGGGCGAAAGCCUGAUCCAGCCAUGCCGCGUGUGUGAAGAAGGUCUUCGGAUUGUAAAGCACUUUAAGGUGGGAGGAAGGGCAGUAAGCGAAUACCUUGCUGUUUUGACGUUACCGACAGAAUAAGCACCGGCUAACGCUGUGCCAGCAGCCGCGGUAAUACAGAGGGUGCGAGCGUUAAUCGGAUUUACUGGGCGUAAAGCGUGCGUAGGCGGCUAAUUGAGUCGGAUGUGAAAUCCCCGAGCUUAACUUGUGAAUUGCAUUCGAUACUGGUUAGCUAGAGUGUGGGAGAGGAUGGUAGAAUUCCAGGUGUAGCGGUGAAAUGCGUAGAGAUCUGGAGGAAUACCGAUGGCGAAGGCAGCCAUCUGGCCUAACACUGACGCUGAGGUACGAAAGCAUGGGGAGCAAACAGG
rnacentral:rRNA from 1 species